rnacentral:rRNA from 1 species
UACGUAGGGGGCAAGCGUUGUCCGGAUUUAUUGGGCGUAAAGAGCGUGUAGGCGGUUAGGUAGGCCCGUUGUGAAAACUCGAGGCUCAACCUCGAGACGCCGAUGGAAACCAUCUAACUAGAGUCCGGAAGAGGAGAGUGGAAUUCCUGGUGUAGCGGUGAAAUGCGCAGAUAUCAGGAAGAACACCCGUGGCUAAGGCGGCUCUCUAGUACGGUACUGACGCUGAGACGCGAAAGCGUGGGGAGCGAACAGG